GCCUGGGUGGCUUAGCUGGUUAGGCGUCCGACUUCAGCUCAGUCAUGAUCUGAUGGCUCGUGGGUUCCAGCCCCACAUCAGGCU
rnacentral:tRNA from 1 species